UAUACGACCGUACCGCAAACCGACACUGGUGCGCGAGAUGAGUAUUCUAAGGCGCUUGAGAGAACUCAGGAGAAGGAACUCGGCAAAUUGACACCGUAACUUCGGAAGAAGGUGUGCCCUAUUAGUGUGUAGUGAACAACGAAGCAUGAAUGGGUUGCAAAAAAUCGGUGGCUGCGACUGUUUAUUAAAAACACAGCACUCUGCAAACACGAAAGUGGACGUAUAGGGUGUGACGCCUGCCCGGUGCUGGAAGAUUAAAUGAUGGGGUGCAAGCUCUUGAUUGAAGUCCCAGUAAACGGCGGCCGUAACUAUAACGGUCCUAAGGUAGCGAAAUUCCUUGUCGGGUAAGUUCCGACCUGCACGAAUGGCGUAACGAUGGCCACACUGUCUCCUCCUGAGACUCAGCGAAGUUGAAAUGUUUGUGAUGAUGCAAUCUCCCCGCGGAAAGACGGAAAGACCCCAUGAACCUUUACUGUAGCUUUGUAUUGGACUUUGAACAGAUCUGUGUAGGAUAGGUGGGAGGCUUUGAAGCAGGGUCGCUAGAUCUUGUGGAGCCAACGUUGAAAUACCACCCUGGUGUGUUUGAGGUUCUAACCUAGGUCCAUUAUCUGGAUCGGGGACAGUGCAUGGUAGGCAGUUUGACUGGGGCGGUCUCCUCCCAAAGCGUAACGGAGGAGUUCGAAGGUACGCUAGUUACGGUCGGACAUCGUGACGAUAGUGCAAUGGCAUAAGCGUGCUUAACUGCGAGACUGCCAAGUCGAGCAGAUGCGAAAGCAGGACAUAGUGAUCCGGUGGUUCUGUAUGGAAGGGCCAUCGCUCAACGGAUAAAAGGUACUCUGGGGAUAACAGGCUGAUACCGCCCAAGAGUUCAUAUCGACGGCGGUGUUUGGCACCUCGAUGUCGGCUCAUCUCAUCCUGGGGCUGUAGCCGGUCCCAAGGGUAUGGCUGUUCGCCAUUUAAAGAGGUACGUGAGCUGGGUUUAAAACGUCGUGAGACAGUUUGGUCCCUAUCUUCCGUGGGCGCUGCAGAUUUGAGGAAGCCUGCUCCUAGUACGAGAGGACCGGAGUGGACACACCUCUGGUGUAUCGGUUGUCACGCCAGUGGCAUUGCCGAGUAGCUAAGUGUGGAAGAGAUAACCGCUGAAAGCAUCUAAGCGGGAAACUCGUUUCAAGAUGAGAUCUGCCGGGGCCUUGAGCCCCCUAAAGAGUCGUUCAAGACCAGGACGUUGAUAGGUCAGGUGUGGAAGCG
rnacentral:rRNA from 1 species